rnacentral:rRNA from 1 species
UACGUAGGGUGCAAGCGUUGUCCGGAAUUAUUGGGCGUAAAGAGCUCGUAGGCGGUUUGUUGCGUCGGCUGUGAAAUCCCGAGGCUCAACCUCGGGUCUGCAGUCGAUACGAGCAAACUAGAGUGUUGCAGGGGAGACUGGAAUUCCUGGUGUAGCGGUGAAAUGCGCAGAUAUCAGGAGGAACACCGGUGGCGAAGGCGGGUCACUGGCUCAUUACUGACGCUCGAGGCGCGACAGCGUGGGGAUCAAACAGG